rnacentral:lncRNA from 1 species
AUGGGAACCGGAGGCGUCGCUGGCACUCAAGCGCUUUUCUUCCUGAUCUUCUAUACGAAUCACAAGCGGAUCGUGAUUGGGCAGCUGCUCUCAGUCUCACGUGGUCUACCAACGGAGAGCUGCGAUUGGCUGGAUGGGAAGAGGGGGCAAGACGCUUCGGCAGCUGUUUUUCCAGGGACCAAGAUGGCGGCGAAGAGCAUGUGGGGAGCGAGCGGGUCAGUUUUCGGUGGAUGGAGAACGAAAAGCAUUCAAGAGGAGCCUGUGACCUGCUCCUAGAAAAAAAUGCUGCUGUGGUCAGGUCUGCUGAAAAAGAAAAUUAUUCCCAUAAUAAUAAUGUGCCAUCAAGUGAAUUCUGAUUGAAAGUGAUGUUUUUCCAGGUAGAAAGUACUCCGGGGCGGGUUUCCCAUUCCCUUCUUCCAGGGGUGCCCUGGGACUGUGCAGCUUGCCCAAGGCCACCCAGGCUGGCUUUACUGGGGCACAACUUAACCUGCCAGCCUCUGGCUCUGCAGCCAGAGCCCUAAACCACUGAGCUAUCCAGCCAGCCAGAGUAUUCGCUUAAGGAGUCCUGCUUUAAUCCCAGGGCCCUAAGCAGCCUCUCCUAAUGGGGUGCAAGGUGGGGUGGGUGACAGGAGAGGCAGUGAAUAUAAACAGGAAGGAGAUCAGUGUUUGAAAGAAGCCCUUCAAAGUUAAUAGGCGGCGGAGAAAUACUAUCCUGUGUUUUAAUCAUGGCUAGCAAAGGUGGGAGCCUCCCCCCCCCCAUUGUGACUACAAUGAGCUUCCUUCCACCCGAUCCGAAGCCACUCGGGCAUUGCGGAAGCCCAUAGGUGGUGCAGGACAUUCAAACAUUUACCAGGUCUCACCGGUGAAGCUCUGCGGUGACUUUUAGAUGUGAAUCCAGCAGGUCUUGCCCGUGCUCCUUGUAUGGACAACAACUCUCAGUUUCCCCCACCCACUGGGGAUUCGGAGUGCUAUAUUCCAGCAGAACAUCUUUUCUAAGGAAAUAUUCGUUCCGGCUUGGAUUCAGACAACGCCUUUGGUCAAGCAGACAUUUUUUUAGACUACAAUUCCCAGGCAGAAACCAUGCCAGGUAUGGGGAUUCUGGAUUCUUGUAGUCCCCCUCCCCUCAAACAAAUGUUUGCAAACCCAGGAUUUCUGCAGAAGUAUUUUAUUUCAGACUUCCAGCUGCGUUGGGCGACACACCUCCCAUUCUCUUUGUGCCUCUGAGCCUCUGGCAUUGNNNNNNNNNNNNNNNNNNNNNNNNNNNNNNNNNNNAAAA